AGCCAACGCUAAUCUUUUUAUUUCGGUGAAGUAAAAACAGCAAAGGAACAAAUAUUCAGGCUCAUAUUUUGGGGCUUCGGCAUUCUUUGGAUUUUGUCUUUUUUUGUGAGUGAAUAGCAAACAAGGAGAAGAAGAAGCUGCAGGACCUGUGAGUGAGAGCUUAAUAGAAGCCUAGUCGGUGCCUGGAGUCCAAAGGACAAUUCACUUGCAAGCUCAGCUCCCAUGGAACUACCUAAAUGAAGAGUGUCACUGAAUGAAGAAUCUUCCAUCCCUGAAAUACUGAAAGGAUGAUGGCAAGCCUUAAUGACAAAGCAACAGAUGUGGCUGCAGUGAGGUCAUGUGGAUGUGUAGCUGUCAUCAUAUCAUACCGGCUGUAUGGGCCACAGAAGAAGUUGUGAGCAGAAGUUUCUUCUCAUGGAAGCAAUGCCAGGGUUUCACUUUUUAAAAUACGGCUCUUGAAAGCUGAAGACACCAAAGACAGAAGAAAAAGUUGGAGGGAAAGCCUGGGGGCAGGAAACCACCUUUACAGCUUCUGGGAUUUGUCUCAGCUCCUGAAAUCAAGAUCCAACGAUUACCUCAGGACUGUUUUCCUCAGAUUCCUGUUCCCAAGCUCUUAGGAGAAAUUCCUGAUUUGUUGAAAGGUAGAUAGACAAAUUGGAUCAACAGCACAAGUUUAGAGUUCGCUAUGGAGACUGUGAAACCUCUGACCAACAGCCCCAGGAGAUUAAAAUGCUUAUGCUCAACUUCUUGAAGUGCUCCACAAGCUCUGCUCUGCCCCAGCACUUGGUUGCAAAGUGGAAGAAGAACAGGAGAAUGCAAAGGGAAAUACAACCCUGCUCCAAGCUUCCUUCUCCCCUCCCUAAAUGCUGGAGGGAUGACUGUUCAAUUAUCAUCCACACCUGUAGUGCGGCUAAGAGCCUUGUGGUAUGCCCUUCCUGAUCCUUCAGGCGCCCUUGCAGUUGCAAACACCACCAUCCAGAUCCGAAGGACAUUCCUCAUGCCUAAUCCAUAGUGCUGCCCCUGGAAAACAGUAGAUUUCUAUACAUAGCGCUCUGAAAAGCCGCGGGGUUAUUCUACCAGGGUGAAGGGGGUCUGUUCUCUGCAGCGUGCAACACAAUUCAAGCCUUGUUAGCAUAUAUGAGAGGAAAAAAAGAGAGAGGAAAAAAAAAAGGUCUCCUUUGUAAGGAGUUUGUUUGUGAAGUGGGGAAUGGCUGGGGGUGUGUGUCAAAACCUCUAGAAGAUUCAGUUUAUUUUGGAGCCCCCAGAGGUUAGAUGUAAUCAGCUCAGAACACAUAGUUUUACUCUUAAUAUGACAUUGAUUUUCUCUGCUAGCUGAAAGAUGCCUUGAUACUCAAUGGGAAAUUGUCCUUUCCCCACAUCCAAGGACACACCUCAUCUCUCCAACCCAUUCCGGGAUUUUUGAAUAGGAAGGGCACAACCAUAGGCCAUAGCUGGGAGCGGAGGUCUGUUCUUGACAGGACCAUAAAUGCAGUUGCUGUGUCUGACAGGGGACUUGCAAAAGAUGCCACUUCAAAGAGGCUUGUGCUUUGCCUGAGGAGAUGUAGGAAUAUUUGGCUACAAGGCUGGAUUCUCUUUAGUUGUAUCCCUUCCUUUUCUUUUUCCAUUACAUUUUUGUGGGAUGAUUUUUAGGUAUUACAUUCAAUUAGUACUGUUAUUUUGGGAUACACCCUCCUCACAUGCAUCAAGUGAACCAAAAGGCCAGGAGGCCAACCUGAAAGGAAGCUUCUUUUUACUACCCGCAGAGCACCUGUCCCAAAGGUGUUAUUUAACUAGGUCGCAAGACCGGAUUGGCAGUGGGGCCAGAUCUUGAAGUUAUGUUCGCACUGCAAGCC
rnacentral:lncRNA from 1 species